AGUGAACGCUGGCGGUAGGCCUAACACAUGCAAGUCGAACGGCAGCACAGUAAGAGCUUGCUCUUACGGGUGGCGAGUGGCGGACGGGUGAGGAAUACAUCGGAAUCUACUUUUUCGUGGGGGAUAACGUAGGGAAACUUAAGCUAAUACCGCAUACGACCUACGGGUGAAAGCAGGGGAUAUUCGGACCUUGUGCGAUUGAAUGAGCCGAUGUCGGAUUAGCUAGUUGGCGGGGUAAAGGCCCACCAAGGCGACGAUCCGUAGCUGGUCUGAGAGGAUGGUCAGCCACACUGGAACUUAGACACGGUCCAGACGCCUACGGGAGGGAGCAGUGGGGAAUAUUGGGCAAUGGUCGCAAGCCUGAUCCAGCCAUACCGCGUGGGUUAAGAAGACCUUCGGUUUGUAAAGCCCGUUUGUUGGGAAAGAAAAGCAGCAGGUUAAUACCCCGCUGUUCUGACGGUACCCAAUGAAUAAGCACUGGCUAACUUCGUG
rnacentral:rRNA from 1 species